GAUGAACGCUGGCGGCGUGCCUAAUACAUGCAAGUCGAGCGAACGGACGAGAAGCUUGCUUCUCUGAUGUUAGCGGCGGACGGGUGAGUAACACGUGGAUAACCUACCUAUAAGACUGGGAUAACUUCGGGAAACCGGAGCUAAUACCGGAUAAUAUUUCGAACCGCAUGGUUCAAAAGUGAAAGACGGUCUUGCUGUCACUUAUAGAUGGAUCCGCGCUGCAUUAGCUAGUUGGUAAGGGAACGGCUUACCAAGGCAACGAUGCAUAGCCGACCUGAGAGGGUGAUCGGCCACACUGGAACUGAGACACGGUCCAGACUCCUACGGGAGGCAGCAGUAGGGAAUCUUCCGCAAUGGGCGAAAGCCUGACGGAGCAACGCCGCGUGAGUGAUGAAGGUCUUCGGAUCGUAAAACUCUGUUAUUAGGGAAGAACAUAUGUGUAAGUACCUGUGCACAUCUUGACGGUACCUAAUCAGAAAGCCACGGCUAACUACGUG
rnacentral:rRNA from 1 species